CAACAUGUGAGAAUUAUGGGAGCUACAAUUCAAGAUGAGAUUUGGGUGGGGAGACAGCAAAACCACAUCAGAUGGCAAAUAAAUAUGUUUCAUCUAUUAUGCCAACCUAUGAAAAUUGGGUGUGAAUUUCCUAGAACACUCUGUUGAGCGUUUCUGAGGUUGCUCAGACAAAAUGAUACCUGUCAUCGAUAUGGUUUGGGAUGUGGUGGUACAUAUGCCAGGUAGUAACUGACUGCAUAGUGCCAGUUUAAGAACCCUUACCCACAAACUGAGGAUAUAUAUGGAGGGAUUUUCGGUUAGAGUCACUGUCAGAGCCGAGCUGCCAAACAAUGCCAGAACUCAUUCAAAUUGGCCAAUUAACUGCCCAGUGUGGCAGGUUAUGCUCCUAACUGAGCAGCCUCACAACACCACGUGAGUGCUGGGAAGCUGACUCAGCUCUGUCUAGAAAGAAGAAAAUGCUGAUUUACCUCUCUCCAAGCCCCCUGGAUCUGCCUCUUGCAAACAACAAAUAAAUAAGGGCAAGAGGUAAUUUAAGCUUUUCUUUUUCAUUUAGCUUUCCUUUGUAGUUUAAUACUUCAAUUGAGGUCAUAUAUGUAGUGUUUCAUCAAUUGCUAGGUGUAGUAAGUAUUCAUCAAUGGUAGCCAUUUUCAUGAUUCUUUUCACAAUUUUUUUCCUUAUAAAGCAUAUGUUUUAUCACUAAAUAAAAAGAGAGAAUUAUAUAGCCAAACUUAUUUUAAAGAUUUGCUUGGAAGUUUCAGAGAAGAUCCCCCUGUAUUAAUCAUGUUCCUUUUUUUUUGUAUUUUAUGAUGCUUUGACACUGUGGGGGCUGUGUGGACCUGGGGAGGGACUGCCCCUCUAGGGGUUAGCUAAUUCAUAGAGAUAGCAGACAACUUGCCUGUGAGCACACCUUUUGUAUACAACCCACCAAUCCAAAGCCCAUAUCCCCAACCACCACCUUUAUCUUGCUCUAAUACACCAAGCCAGUAUUUCCACUGCCUAAAUCACCCCAAGGCCGGGCAUCAGACAACUAGAGACCACCCCUAUGGCCAGAGCCUGCCCACAUUAUUCAAACUAUCCAAUUCUAAGCUUGCUCAAACUUGCCUUCCCUGCCUCACCCUUUCUCUCGCAUGGAAACCACAGUAAGGCUCUGGACCAGGCUUUUCCCUCAUUGCUUCUGCCUCCUGAUUGACCUGGGUACUUCCCCUGAGGCCUGACGUAAUAUGGCAUGCCCCUCCUCUUGGAACCUUGCCUAAUUUUAAAACAUCAUGCUCUCGGGUGAGACAGAACAUGUCCAUGUAUGAAACUAAGCAUGUAAAGAAGAGUUAAAUUAUAAUAGCUUUUUGGAGUAAAGAAUGAAGAGGGCAAACGUGAUGAGGAAAAGGAGACUGUCAGUAAUUGCGAUGCACACACAAGGGAGAGCAUCCACGGUGAACACUUCAUGGACAAGAUGGAAAGUGUGCUCUGCACAGAGACUCUAUGCUGUGAAAGGAGGGAGAAUCAAUUUAUGGGCCAAGAAAGACCUGGACAAAAUUAUCCAUUUUGAAGGAAAUCAUUUGUGCUGAAGCAAUGAAAACUUUCUGGAGAGCUAUUUGAGGAGGCACAUGUUUAGGUAAUAUAUUGCUGCUUUGCAUUUCUAUAACACCUUCCAUGUAAGAGCUGCAGAGUGUAACACAAACAUUAACUAAUAAAUUAAGCCUCGUGGCACCUCUGCAUGAUCGAUAGACAUAACAGCCAUUUUUAUAGUGUAGGAAAGGCAGCACCCUGCUCAAAAGUGCUGAAGUCAUUUACCCAAGGUCAUGAAGUGGGGGAAAUUGGCAAAGUGUUCCAAAAUGAAGCGUUGAGUCUCACCACACUCACACAACCUGCCUCCUUCAAUGGGGUCAUAGAGGGAAUGAAGGGGGUGCCAUAUAUGCCCUGGUUUCCAAUGAUUCACUUCAGGAGAUAUCUCUGUAAUUUAACUUGAAGAAAUAGUAAGUCUUAGAUCAAAGCCUUAACUCCUUUCUCUCUGGUUUACUCAGGAAUUAAUUUGUUUGCUAAUGCUGGUCUCUCCUGGGAUCACACUGGCCUUUAGCUAUGGAGUUCUGUGUUCAUGUUACUUAAUCUGAUUAUGCAAAGGACUUAAAAUAUUUCAAGAAUGUCAAACCACACAAACAUGUCUAUGUAGGCACUAAUGUAAUUAUUUUAAUUGUUAUUUUAGUUUCUAAAAAACUCAUAAAAUCGCAAUUGAAAAAGUGUGCCGUCUCUCCAAAAGAUAGUGCCAAGUCCAUAACAGAAUCUGUUUAUUUUUUUCACUUUGGUAAGACAUCACUAUAUAUCUUCCUAAAUGUUAUUUCUCUCCAUUAUCAUAACCUUGGCUUAGUAAUAGCCUGUUCCAUAGUAACAUUGUCUUUUAUUCCUCUUUCUCUCUGAUAACCACGUAUUUUCUCCACUAGAAGGAUCGGCAGAGAGAAAACAAAGCAAGGAAAUCAAAUAUAAAUCCCCAGUGCUCCUAAUACCUCUUGGAAAGAAAACGGACACCUCUGUUAACAAAGUUAUGAUGAUUUCUACUUUGGUACACACUUCCGAACUUCUCAGAGAGGAACCAGCUCACCUCUAAGUCACUCAUGUUCUCAAUUUACAUUUGUUUUUUUUUCUAUAGAAAGAAAAAGACUUUUUUUUUUUAAUUGAAGCAAAGCAUAAUGCACUUGUCACUGUUUAACAUUCAGCCCCGUUUCUUUUCCAGAGCGGUCCUUUGAGAGCAUUAACAUUCACACCCCCUACAACUAGAAUUCAUGACACUGGCAAAUGAUGUUUCUAGACUGUUUGCAUUGGCCGACAUGUCCUCACCCUGUUUUCUCCCCAGUCCUUACAAUUCUCCAACUGCAGGUGCAAACUGGGGUGCUGUCAAGCAACCUGGUGCUGAGGAGGCAGAGCCAGGAUGGACCCGGAUUCUGGAUUCCACCAUGUGCCUGGUGGAUACCGUGCGGAUGUGGAGCAGGCAAUGCUGGGUGCAAAUCCCCGCCAGGAACUGUUCAUCCUGAAAAAAACCUGCUGCACAUUGCCCUGGUCACCUCAACGAAAAGGGAACUGAUCACAGCCGCACAUGAGCUCGGAGUUGCCCAUCCUCCUGGCUAUCCUUUGUUCACGCUGGUGGCUAAACUGGCAAUUACACUGUUUCCUUUUGGUUCAAUUGCCUACCGCGUCAAUCUUCUCUGUGGCUUAUUUGGAGCAGUAGCUGCAUCGUUACUUUUUUUCACCGUUUUCAGGCUUUCUGGCUCAUCUGCUGGAGGAAUCCUUGCUGCGGGGGUGUUUUCAUUUUCUCGUCUAACAUGGCAGUGGUCCAUUGCAGCAGAGGUUUUUAGCUUAAACAAUCUGUUUGUGGGGCUGCUUAUGGCUCUUACUGUACAUUUUGAGGAAGCAGCAACUGCUAAGGAGAGAUCAAAGAUAGCUAAAAUUGGUGCUUUCUGCUGUGGCCUUAGCUUAUGUAACCAGCACACAAUAAUACUCUAUGUUUUGUGCAUAAUACCUUGGAUUCUCUUUCAACUUUUAAAAAAGAAGGAACUCUCCCUGGGCUCUUUGUUGAAGUUGAGCCUGUACUUCUCUGCUGGUUUGCUGCCCUAUGUCCACCUUCCCAUCUCAUCUUACCUUAAUCAUGCCCGGUGGACCUGGGGAGACCAGACAACGCUGCAAGGAUUUUUGACACAUUUUCUCAGGGAAGAAUAUGGAACCUUCAGCCUGGCCAAAUCUGAAAUAGGAUCCAGUAUGUCUGAAAUAUUGCUUUCUCAAGUAACAAAUAUGAGGACCGAACUCUCAUUCAACAUCCAAGCCCUUGCAGUUUGUGCAAAUAUAUGUUUAGCAAGAAAGGACCGACAGAAUCCAUCAUUAGUAUGGCUUUUUACUGGGAUGUUCUGCAUUUAUUCAUUGUUCUUUGCUUGGAGAGCAAAUUUAGAUAUUUCAAAACCACUUUUCAUGGGUGUGGUGGAACGAUUCUGGAUGCAGAGCAAUGCGGUAGUGGCCGUCCUCGCUGGCAUUGGUUUGGCUGCAGUUGUGUCUGAGACUAACAGAGUGCUGAAUAGCAAUGGGCUUCAGUGUCUGGAAUGGCUUUCUGCAACUCUUUUUGUAGUUUACCAAAUAUAUUCUAAUUACAGCAUUUGUGACCAAAGGACCAACUAUGUGAUCGAUAAAUUCGCAAAGAACCUUCUCACCUCUAUGCCUCAUGAUGCAAUUAUCUUACUGAGAGGAGAUUUGCCAGGAAAUUCUCUCCGUUACAUGCAUUACUGUGAGGGGUUGAGGCCUGACAUUUCGUUAGUGGAUCAGGAAAUGAUGACUUAUGAGUGGUAUUUACCCAUGAUGGCAAAGCACUUGCCAGGUGUCAACUUUCCUGGGAACCGGUGGAAUCCUGUGGAAGGAAUAUUACCUAGUGGAAUGGUCACAUUUAAUCUUUAUCAUUUUCUUGAAGUAAAUAAACAAAAAGAAACAUUUGUUUGCAUAGGAAUUCAUGAAGGCGACCCAACCUGGAAAAAGAACUACUCACUUUGGCCAUGGGGGUCUUGUGACAAAUUAGUUCCUUUGGAGAUUGUAUUCAACCCUGAGGAAUGGAUUAAACUUACAAAAAAUAUCUACAACUGGACUGAAGAAUAUGGAAGGUUUGAUCCAUCUUCUUGGGAAUCUGUGGCCAAUGAAGAAAUGUGGCAAGCGAGGAUGAAAACACCAUUCUUCAUCUUUAACCUGGCAGAAACUGCUCACAUGCCUUCAAAAGUGAAAGCUCAACUCUACGCUCAUGCAUAUGACCUUUAUAAGGAGAUUGUCUAUUUGCAAAAGGAGCACCCAGUGAAUUGGCACAAGAACUAUGCCAUUGCCUGUGAGCGGAUGCUGCGUCUUCAGGCAAGAGAUGCAGACCCUGAAGUGCUGUUAUCUGAAACCAUCAGACAUUUCCAUCUGUACUCUCAGAAAGCACGGAAUGAUCCACAGCAAGCUGAUAUUUUAGGUGCUCUAAAGCACCUAAGAAAAGAACUGCAAAGUCUGAGAAACAGGAAAAAUGUCUGACACAGCAAAAUAUGAAAAACCUGCUCAUCAUUCAGCUUCCAAAAUUCUGAAGUCCGGAAGUUUUUUCUUCAAGAAAAGAAGCUGCAUAAAAAAUUUAAAACUAAGUCAUCUCCCAGAUAUAAGUAACAUGGUCCAGCAGUACUGUUUAAUGGGGUGUUCAGUGACUAAGAUCUACUAUUUAUGCAAAAUGCUGUUUAUCCCAUGUUACCAAAUUACCGUUUCAGUGAGAAGCUUUAUGAAAAGUCUUCUGACUUCCAGUCUUUUACCAGAUGACUGCGCUGGAUUAGAUUCUAGAAGAGAAUGAACCAUUUUCAUAUAACUAAAUAUUGACCAUGAACUGUUUAAGGGCCAUGCUUAUUGGAAUCAGUUUUAAAGUUAAAUUCUUUUGAUAUUAAUACCAGACCAAAGACAUUUUCUGUUUCCUGAACAAAAAGAAUGAAUCAUGUUAGGCUUUAGGUGAGAGUACAUUUUUUACAAAGUAGCUAUAGUUGUUACAUAGUCUUACACUUCAAGCUAAGCACCAAGUGGGUGAUAUUUUGAAAAAAGUUUGUGUUUUACUGUCUUAGAUCGUUCUCGGAAAUCACUGAAAAAAAAAAAAGCUAAUUUGAUGUUUGCUUAUUUCAGUUGCAGAAACUGUGUACAGACACCACAAAAUCUGAUAAAAGCGGUUUCCUGUAGUCUGACCCCCAACAUUGAGGGGACUGUGAUGGAGGUGACUUCUCAUGCAGGAUUUGGCCAGCGUUCUCCUAGCAGUGUCCUGGGAGUGCCAUGGGUUGGCAAGACGACAGGAACUCCACAAGGCCAAAUUCUGCCUGGACUUCGGCCUGAGGUGCCAAUGAAACUGUCUGCCUCUCCACAUGCAUCAGGGCCCUGCCGCCCUGGCACCAAGGCUGGCACGCACCAGAGGGCAAGUGGAGAAGUGGAUGGUGGCUCCCAAGUUAUCUGACUAACCACUGGGUGGGCUGCACUCCCUGUGCCCCCCUGUUCCCUCUGAUGGGAGUAUGCUUGGUUCUUGGUAUUGACUUGCCUUUUUUUGUUGUUUUUUUAAAAGGACCCAUUUUGUUAAAUGCUUCUGUUCUAUUACUCAAAAUGUAGCCAAAAUAGAAGGGAAUCAACUACUAGUGUAUUAUUUGAAAGCUUAAAACAGAAAUUGUGAAAUGUUAUUUCUGCUCAUAUUCUUAGUGUUUUCUCUUGGUAGGACCAUAAUGUUUAGCCUUUACGAUAUUUAAAACUCAUUAUGAGUGUUAGGGUUGUUUUUGUGAUACCCUGCUGGUAAUUUUAAGUCAUGAGGCUAGGAUAUGAAGAGGAGUUUUUUAAGUUUAUGUUUUAAAAGUGAAAUAUUGUGACUCUUUAAUCAUAGUUCUCAUCAAUAUCCCUCAGAAUAUUUAAAUGUUAAUGCUUUAAUAUUUAGGGAAAAAUUUUAUACCAAAGGUUGGAAAAAAAAAAAAAAAAGAAUCCUGUUACUCUGACUUCUGGUAUGUUUUAUAAAUGCAUCAGCACAGGAUAUUACUUAAAAUUCUGUUCUGACUGGCUUCAAGUCUUAUGGUUAGGUAAAGAAAACAGCUUCAGCCCAGUAAGAGAUUCACAUUUUGUUGUGAAUGCAAAACCAUUCUAAUGCUGAUACUCACAAACAAAUAACUAAUGUUUCCAGGGAUUCUGGGAACAUCUAAAGGCCAGGAUCUUGGCACAGCAUUACAGAGCAAACAAGGAGCUAAAGCUUUAGCAGUGAUCAUAUUCAAUGAAGACAUCAUUGUCAGUACCCUCUAAAGGUCUGUUUGAUUUGGAUCAGCACAGACAGUAUUUUUAAAAUAGCCCCAGGAAUAGUACAGUAGGCUUACUCAGCUAUAGAAAAUUAAACAGGAAGAUAUCCUGAAAAGGGGGUUUUUCAGGAAAAAAAAUUCUGAUUGCUCUUCAACAAUGUAACAUACAUUUGAUGGAUAUUAUAUGUACUAGAAAGAUUAGCUCAUGCCAUAGUGGGGAAAAAAAAAAAAAGGGUGGUGAUGCCACAUGGGAAGGACAAGUAGCAGUUCCAACACUGUACAUGUGAAGCCAACAAUUAUUAGCCUGAAAGUGGAGUUCUCUGGCUCUUUGCUGCAGAUCCAAAGUUAGGGGUGAGGGUUAAUUUUCAAUACAGACAUUGCUAUGAUAUUAAAAAAUUGAGUUGACAAGGUUGAGAAAGUUACAAGAUAAAGGUCAAGACACAAAGACACAAUUAUUAGACCCUACUCCUAUCCCAGUGAUCCAGCCUCACAGAGCAGCUGCAGAGUUGCAAGUCUUCUGGUACAUAGUUGCCAUUAGAUGAGGAUAAGUAUAAUAAAAGAUAAAUAGAAAUAAGCCAAAUCUAAGAAAUAAUCUAACCAUUUCAAAACUUUAACUUUAGGAUUUGUUGUAAUUCUCGUAUAAGAAGUAUGGGAUGAAGAACAAUAUAUGGAAAUGGCAUAAAAUCUUUUUAUCAUUAAGUUCAUUGUAUAAUAAACACUGCAAGCUAACGAAUGGA